UAACCUCAAAUUUUCACAAAAUGCAUAGAAACAAAGCAGGAUUUUAUGAUUUUUUAUGAUCAAAAAGGGAUAUACGAAAUUUUAAAAAUGCUUUGAUUUUCAUUUUAUAUUUAGAAUAACAAAAAAAUAAAAUCAGUAAGAGAUAGAAAUGAAAAAAGGCCAGUUUUUUCUUUUUCUGAGACCGGAAGUUGUCAUCAGCAAGUGUAGAGCCAAACCACAACAAGUUCUCAGAGGGCGGAGCCUGAGAGCAGAGAUUGGUCAGACCAUAGAGUCAUAUAGAAGACAGCGCGCUAGCGUAUCUGUCGUUCUAUACAUAUCUAUGGUCAGCACAUCUGGUAGCAUCUGUGGCUGCUGUUGACCUUGUUUUUGGAGUAAAACACGGUGGAAGCUGAAUUAGUGAGGAUGACUCCUGCUCCUGUCAUCUCUAAGCUCCUCACACAUCUUUACCUGCACAUGAGGAAAAUCACUCCUGUAGAAUGCAGUGGUUCAUCAGAACCUCUGGGGAUGUCCUGUGGAUUCUGUGGAUCCUGUGGGUUGCAGAGUGGGUCCUACCUAGACCAGGCUGAUCCUGGACCAUCCCACAGAUGCUCCAUCAGAUCUGGAUGUGGGGAGUGUGGAACCCAGAUGUUCAGAGGGACAUGAUGCCACAUCUGGUCCAGCCGAUGGAAGGUCUUGAAGUUCUCUGACUGGCCUCGACUGAAGAUGGUCGUCUCACUGGAUUUAAGGUUCAGAUGCUCAGUAACAAACUCCACCAAUGUGCCAACAGGGAAGCUUUAGGUUUAUUAAAUGUUGCUAUGAAGGUAUCACUGUUUUUCUUUGUGAAUGCAAUGUGCUCCAACUGAAACUUGAAUUAGAACUUAGAAGUAAAUCCUUCCAUCUGAAAGGAUUUAGUUGCAUUAAUAACCUCAUAACCUUCUAAUUUUUCUUCCAGUCUUGGUUGGAAAUAGAAUCUCUGUAUUGAUUCAGGUAAAAACUGAACUUCACAGCAUGUUGGAGCAAAACAACAGAUGAAAACUGUGAUGAUGUUGGAUUGUCAGACCGUAAUGUUGCAGCUCAAAGCAGCUUUUCUAGCUCAGUUCAUUCUGACAUUCAGCUAUGAAUCAACACAGCAGAUGGUGAUCCAUGCUGUGGAAGCCUCACAUCUCCUGAUUUAAUGUAGCUGCUUUGCACUUUUUACACUGUUUAUUCACCAACACUUUAUUUAAUAAAAGUCCCAUCUAGUUUUCAUGAGGAAUGUGAUGUUUUAAUUUCUCUGUGAAUAACUGCAGUCUAAUGUAACAGCUGGAAUUGUAACAUCUGUCCUGAUAUUGAUCAUGAAGUAUUGAUCAGAAUUAGAGGUCGACCGAUGUGGGAUUUUCAAAGGCCGAUGCCGAUACCGAUUUUUAAAAAAAUUUUCAGCUGAUGGCCGAUAUCUAAAGCCGAUUGUAGAAGCCGAUUUUUAAGGCUGAUAUCCUUUUUUUUUUUUUUUAAAGCACAUCAAAUACAAAAGGCAAUUUAAACACUAAAAGUAUAUACAUGUAUAUAUUACAAAUUAAACACACUAGUAGAACUCUAACAUUUAUUUAACACAAAAAGUGAAAAAGUACAAUAACAUAAAAAAAUACUUACAGUUUACAAAAAAUACAAUUAAAAAGUAACCUGAAAGUGGUUAGGGUUAGGCUUGUUGUUGCCUGGCUCACUCGCUCCGCUCAUGCUCUGCUCUCUGAGUGCCGGGGGUCCAUCUAAGGGAAAAGCGGUCGCGGCAGCUGCCCGUACAGGUGCCUGAUCACAAAUCGGCUUUUUAUUUGUAAAUAUCGGCCGAUGGCCGAUAUUGAAAAAAGUCCAUGUAUCGGCCCAAAAUAUCGGCCGGCCGAUAUAUCGGUCUACCUCUAAUCAGAAUACUUAUGGUUAGUUUUAUAUUAAAAUCUUUACUUGUGAUGUGAACUUUGGUAAGAAGCAGAAACUUUAGCGUUGCCAUGGAUACAUGAGUGUUAAAUUCUGUCCAUGUUUCAUUUUGGGAUGCAGUCCAGCAGAUGAGUUUGUUUUACUGCCAGCUACCAUUCAGUCUGAGAUAUUAAGAAUAAAUAAAUGUGCAUAAUGUGGAAAUGAACAGAUUCUGUUUUUAUUUAUUCGUACAGCUGUUGCAUGUAAAGUUCCAGAAUUUGGAGGAAUUUAGUCUCACAGUCACAGACAAUAAAUAUUAUCUGAAAGUUGGG